rnacentral:rRNA from 1 species
AAUCCUGCUCGAAUAUAGGGGGACCACCCUCUAAGCCUAAAUACUCUUCAGUGACCGAUAGUGAACAAGUACCGUGAGGGAAAGGUGAAAAGAACCCCUAUUAGGGGAGUGAAAUAGAACCUGAAACUGCAUGCCUACAAUCAGUCGAAGCUCUUUUUAGAGUGACGGCGUACCUUUUGUAUAAUGGGUCAGUGACUUAAUUUAUUAAGCAAGCUUAAGCCAUCUAGGUGUAGGCGCAGCGAAAGCAAGUCUUAAUAGGGCGAAUAGUUAAAUGAAUUAGACCCGAAAACGAAUGAGCUUACCAUGAGCAGGUUGAAAGUAAGGUAACACUUACCGGAGGACCGAACCAGUUGACGUUGAAAAGUCUUUGGAUGACUUGUGGUAAGGGGUGAAAGGCCAACCAAAUUCGUAGAUAGCUGGUUUUCCGCGAAAACUAUUUAGGUAGUGCGUUGAGUAAAUAGAUGUUUAGAGGUAGAGCACUAAAUGGGCUAGGGGGAAGAGAUUCUUACCAAACCUAAUAAAACUCCGAAUGCUAAACAUUGUUCCUCAGCAGACAGACUGUGGGUGCUAAGGUCCAUGGUCGAGAGGGAAAGAGCCCAGACCACCAGAUAAGGUCCCAAAAUUAUGAUUAAGUGUGAAAGGAUGUGGAAAUUCCUUAACAGCCGGGAGGUUGGCUUAGAAGCAGCCAUCCUUUAAAGAUAGCGUAACAGCUCACCGGUCUAAUAGAGUUUCUGCGCCGAAGAUGUAACGGGGCUAAAAUCAUAUACCGAAUCUGUGGAUUUAUAAUUUUUUCGAAAAUUAUAACUGGUAGCGGAACGUUCUGUAAGCCUGUAAAGGAUACCUGUGAAGGAUCCUGGAGGUAUCAGAAGUGCGAAUGCUGACAUAAGUAACGAUAAAAGAAGUGAAAAACUUCUUCGCCGAAAAUCCAAGGGUUUCUGCGCAAGGUUAAUCCGCGCAGAGUUAGUCGGCACCUAAGGCGAGGGCGAAAGCCGUAGUCGAUGGAAACAAGGUUAAUAUUCCUUGACCAGAUGGUAGUGACGGAUCUUAUAAGUUGUAAAUUCUUAAUGGAUUGAAUUUGCUAUGAAAAGGUUCCAAGAAAUAGCUCCAUCAUUAGACCGUACCCUAAACCGACACAGGUGGAUUAAUAGAGUAUAUCUAGGCGCUUGAGAGAAUGAUGUUGAAGGAACUCGGCAAAAUGCUUCCGUAACUUCGGAAUAAGGAAGACCCUUUUUUAGGCAACUAGAUUUGGGUGGCACAAGCCAGGGAGAAGCGACUGUUUAUCAAAAACACAGGGCUCUGCUAACACGUAAGUGGAUGUAUAGGGUCUGACGCCUGCCCGGUGCUGGAAGGUUAAUGCGAUGGGUGCAAGCUCAUUUCUGAAGCCCCAGUAAACGGCGGCCGUAACUAUAACGGUCCUAAGGUAGCGAAAUUCCUUGUCGGGUAAGUUCCGACCUGCAUGAAUGGCGUAACGAUUUCUCCGCUGUCUCCAACAUCAACUCAGUGAAAUUGAAUUCUCCGUGAAGAUGCGGAGUUCGCGU